rnacentral:rRNA from 1 species
UGAGGAAUAUUGGGUCAAUGGGGCGAAAGCCUGAACCAGCCAAGUAGCGUGCAGGAUGACGGCCCUAUGGGUUGUAAACUGCUUUUAGGCGGGGGUAAAGUGCCGGACGUGUUCCGGUAUUGCAAGUACCGCCAGAAAAGGACCGGCUAAUUCCGUGCCAGCAGCCGCGGUAAUACGGAAGGUCCAGGCGUUAUCCGGAUUUAUUGGGUUUAAAGGGAGCGUAGGCGGGCUAUUAAGUCAGCUGUGAAAUCCGGCGGCUCAACCGUCGGCCUGCAGUUGAUACUGGUGGUCUUGAGUGCGCGCGACGCAGGCGGAAUUCGUGGUGUAGCGGUGAAAUGCUUAGAUAUCACGAGGAACCCCGAUUGCGAAGGCAGCUUGCGGGAGCGCAACUGACGCUGAAGCUCGAAGGUGCGGGUAUCGAACAGGAUUAGAUACCCUGGUAGU